rnacentral:misc_RNA from 1 species
GUAGGUGAACCUGCGGAAGGAUCAAUAUGGAGGAGAGUGAGUGAAGGGGGAUAAGUGGAAAAAAAGAGCUUUUUAUUCAAUCUACAACACACACACACACAACUCAUAACAAUGGAUCUCUGGGCUCUU